CCUAUGGGGGGCACCAGGCGCGAAAACUUUACAAUGCGGGCAACCGUGAUAAGGGAACCUCGAGUGCCUGUAUAUGCAGGCUGUCCAGGUGUCUAAAACACACCUGAAGAAAGGGCCGGGCAAGACCGGUGCCAGCCGCCGCGGUAAUACCGGCGGCUCGAGUGGUGGCCGCUUUUAUUGGGCUUAAAGCGUUCGUAGCUGGGUCGUUAAGUCUCUUGGGAAAUCCGGCAGCUCAACUGUCGGGCGUCUAAGAGAUACUGGCGAUCUUGGAACCGGGAGAGGUGAGGGGUACUUCGGGGGUAGGAGUGAAAUCCUGUAAUCCUCGAGGGACCACCUGUGGCGAAGGCGCCUCACCAGAACGGCUUCGACAGUGAGGGACGAAAGCUGGGGGAGCAAACCGGAUUAGAUACCCAAGUAGUCC
rnacentral:rRNA from 1 species